ensembl:snoRNA small nucleolar RNA SNORD65
CCAUGAUGAAACCUAAACUUACAGCUGGAAUUACCGUCAGAUUGUUAGUGUUGAUAAUGGGUUUUCUGAGC